rnacentral:ncRNA from 1 species
UUGUCGUUGCUAUGGUAAUCUGCUUAGUACGAGAGGAACCGCAGGUUCAGACAAUUUGGUUUAUGUGGCUUGGUCGAAAGAACGCAAUGUGCGAAGCUACCAUCUGAGGGAUAUAAAGACUGAAAAGGCCUCUAAGUCUGAAUCCGCCCAGAAAUGCAAACGAUACUAUCACGGUGCCCCUACGCGGAGGCAACGAUAUACUCGCCCGAAAUCCGAUUUUCGGCGCCGAGACUGGCUAAAGCCACUGCGAUAGCUGGCCACACCCGCUGUCUUGAAAAUUGGCAGUGGAGGCACAGACACGAAAUACCACUUGAUUGAGACGUAGGGGUUCUAUAUCGUUUGUUAGACGACUAAAUCUCGUCGGGGUGCCGUACUUAGUUGAAGGCAGUUCUUAAGAAAAAAAAAAAAAAGAAAAACACUGCGAUCUAUUGAGGGCUAAGCCUUUUGACGGGGAGAUAU